rnacentral:misc_RNA from 1 species
GGUUGGAGGAGGUGGAGUAGUGGAUGCUGAUGGUUGUGCGCUACCAGAUCGGUUGUUUGAUGGAGGAAGUGAAAUCCCAAAGGGUGGGCUACUAGUAGGGGAAGGGGUUUGCUGACUCUGAUUACUAACUAAAAGUGGAUUUCCAACGAUAAUGAGCUUCACACUUUUCUGAAAUUUGGGAAAAGGAGGACUAAGAUUGUUG